rnacentral:rRNA from 1 species
UACAGAGGGUGCGAGCGUUGUCCGGAAUCACUGGGCGUAAAGGGCGCGUAGGUGGCUUGGUAAGCGUGUGGUGAAAGUCCGGGGCUCAACCCCCGGAUCUGCCAUGCGAACUGCCGAGCUCGAGCAUUGUAGAGGCAGGUGGAAUUUCGGGUGUAGCGGUGGAAUGCGUAGAUAUCCGAAAGAACACCGGUGGCGAAAGGCGGCCGUGCUGGGCAAUUGGCUGACACUGAGGCGCGGACGAGCAGUGGGGAGCAAAGCAGGAUUCGAG